rnacentral:rRNA from 1 species
GACGUAGGGGGCCAGCGUUGUUCGGAAUUACUGGGUGUAAAGGGUUCGUAGGCGGUGUGGCAAGUCGGGAGUGAAAUCUCUGGGCUCAACCCAGAGUCUGCUUCCGAAACUGCUGUGCUUGAGUGUGGGAGAGGCGCGUGGAAUUGCAGGUGUAGCGGUGAAAUGCGUAGAUAUCUGCAGGAACACCCGUGGCGAAAGCGGCGCGCUGGACCACUACUGACGCUGAGGAGCGAAAGCGUGGGGAGCGAACAGG